rnacentral:tRNA from 1 species
AAAGAAUUAGUUAAUCCCCAUAACAUUAAAUUGUCAAUUUAAAAUUAUUAUUCAAUACAAAUAAUAUUCUUUU